UACGUAGGGGGCAAGCGUUGUCCGGAAUCAUUGGGCGUAAAGCGCGUGUAGGCGGCUCGGUAAGUCCGCUCUGAAAGUCCAGGGCUCAACCCUGGGAUGCGGGUGGAUACUGCCGGGCUCGAGUCCGGAAGAGGAGAGUGGAAUUCCCGGUGUAGCGGUGAAAUGCGCAGAUAUCGGGAAGAACACCCGUGGCGAAGGCGGCUCUCUGGGACGGUACUGACGCUGAGACGCGAAAGCGUGGGGAGCAAACAGG
rnacentral:rRNA from 1 species